CCUACGGGAGGCAGCAGUAGGGAAUUUUCCGCAAUGGGCGAAAGCCUGACGGAGCAAUACCGCGUGAGGGAUGACUGCCUAUGGGUUGUAAACCUCUUUUUUCAGGGAGGAAUAAAUGACGUGUACCUGAAGAAUAGGCAUCGGCUAACUCCGUGCCAGCAGCCGCGGUAAGACGGAGGAUGCAAGUGUUAUCCGGAAUCACUGGGCGUAAAGCGUCUGUAGGUGGCUCGACAAGUCAACUGUUAAAUCUUGAAGCUCAACUUCAAAAUCGCAGUCGAAACUAUCGGACUAGAGUAUAGUAGAGGUAAAGGGAAUUUCCAGUGGAGCGGUGAAAUGCGUAGAGAUUGGAAAGAACACCGAUGGCGAAGGCACUUUGCUGGGCUAUUACUGACACUCAGAGACGAAAGCUAGGGUAGCAAAUGGGAUUAGGUACCCCAGUAGUCCUAGCCGUAAACAAUGGAUACUAGGUGUUGAACAGAUCGACCUGUGCAGUACCAAAGCUAACGCGUUAAGUAUCCCGCCUGGGAAGUAUGCACGCAGUAGUGAACUACAAUAGAAGUUAGUACGGACGUGAGACGUGCCGACGGACGACGACGAGGGAGGUUAGG
rnacentral:rRNA from 1 species